rnacentral:rRNA from 1 species
UACCAGACUCCUACGGGAGGCAGCAGUGAGGAAUAUUGGCCAAUGGGCGAGAGCCUGAACCAGCCAAGUCGCGUGAGGGAUGACUGCCCUAUGGGUUGUAAACCUCUUUUGUAUGGGGGGAAUAAGCUUUACGAGUAGAGUGAUGACAGUACCAUACGAAUAAGCAUCGGCUAACUCCGUGCCAGCAGCCGCGGUAAUACGGGGGAUGCAAGCGUUAUCCGGAUUUAUUGGGUUUAAAGGGUGCGUAGGCUGUGAGGUAAGUCAGCGGUGAAAUGCCCCCGCUCAACGGGGUGAAGUGCCAUUGAUACUGCCUUGCUGGAAUGCGGAUGCCGUGGGAGGAAUGUGUGGUGUAGCGGUGAAAUGCAUAGAUAUCACACAGAACACCGAUUGCGAAGGCAUCUCACGAAUCCGCGAUUGACGCUGAUGCACGAAAGCGUGGGUAUCAAACAGGAUUAGAUACCCCUGUAU